GGUGCCCAGCAGCAGGUGCCCGGCAGCAGCCCGCACCGCACCGCACCGCGCCGCGCAGGAGCGGAGGGGCUCGAGCGAGAGGCGCGGUCCCGGCCGUAAGCAAGAAACUUUCCUCGCUCACAGAGCCCUCUUGGAGCAGCACGGCGCCCCGCUGCCAGGGAGCUCCUGGCGCCGGUCCGGCCCCGCCGCCCUUCUGGUUGCGGAGAGGCGCUCCCGGCCCGACGGACCCCGCGCCGCGUCCGUGCCGGAGGUGCCGCCAAAUCCGGACCGGAGCAGAAGGGAUUCACUGUGAACUAUGAGCGCUGCGACAAAAGUUUUCUAAGUGACAGAUGCGUGCAUAAGUAAACUUGUAUGCAGAAAUUAAAAUCAACUGGAGUUGGUAGCAUCCUCUCUGGAAGUUAAAUAUCGUUCAAAGCUGGGGCGGCACGGGGGUCGGGUUGCGCGUAGCCGAUGGCCUCGGACCGUGCGGGAGUCGGGUAUCGCUGCGGGACGGGCAGCAGCACCGAGGCGGCCGGGGGCAGCGCGACUGCGGCAAGGAGACGGGGGAAGGAAGACGGGCGGAGCGGCAUCGGAGAUAGCAGAAAGAAAAACUCUACUGAGAAGUGUGAAAAGAAAAGGAGGGGGAGGAGCCGCCCACAUGCUGCCAGGAGCCGUCCCGCUGGCAGCUUCUGCUCUCUGCUGUAUCGCUGCCGAACUGGGCGCCAAGACAGGACAUAUGCAAAAUCAUUUCACUGUGGCACAAACACAAGAAACAUGAUUUGGAAGAAAGGACAGGGGCCAGAGUGUCUGUCUCUUAUUCUCCCACUCGCAUUGCUGCAAACUGGCCAUCAUGAAUUCCAGGCAAUUAAAAAGGACAUGAGUUCUGAAGCAUUUUAAAAGGGGCUUUGCUUCCAAAUGAGGAAGUGUGUAAAUCCUACUCAGGACCCAUGCUCAAUUAUGAGAUCCUUGCAGAAGAUGAAACAGGUGCUCCUGAAACAACCUUUGGCAGGAACAGGGCAGAGAGGAAGAACCAGAUGAGCCAGAAGUGGCUCCAAAGGCAAGUGGUAGUAAUCCUGUCCUGCUAAGGAAGUCAGGAGGCAAGAAAAGAAAACAAAUAGAAUAAGCAGCUCGUUACAAUUAAAUUACAGCCCAGUUUUCACAGGUUUACCCAAGCCAAGUUCUGAGCCUAGAAAAAUUAUGCCUAAGUAAUGAAGACUCCCCUGGCUAUUCAGAGCCAGCAUCUAGCAGCAGACUCCAGAGCUGCCCCAGGUAAGACUGCUGCAGGAGCAGAGCUCUCCUCCUUACCAUGUGGAAUGUCUCUUGCUUGUCUAUUACAACAGGAAAUGUUUUGAAAUCUGAACAAUGCAGGAGAUCUGAGGGCAGACAGCACACAUAAUGAAAAGAAAAAAGAACUAUUACUUGGAAAUGAUUGUUGCUUUGUCACUUUUCCUUAAUUUCCUCAGUAACUGGUAGAAACCGUUCCUUAGAAAAUAUUUAGGAAAUAACAUCCAUAACGC
rnacentral:lncRNA from 1 species